rnacentral:rRNA from 1 species
UUACACAUGCAAGUCGAACGGUAACGCGGGGCAACCUGGCGACGAGUGGCGAACGGGUGAGUAAUGUAUCGGAACGUGCCCAGUUGUGGGGGAUAACUGCUCGAAAGAGCAGCUAAUACCGCAUACGACCUGAGGGUGAAAGCGGGGGAUCGCAAGACCUCGCGCAGUUGGAGCGGCCGAUAUCAGAUUAGGUAGUUGGUGGGGUAAAGGCUCACCAAGCCAACGAUCUGUAGCUGGUCUGAGAGGACGACCAGCCACACUGGGACUGAGACACGGCCCAGACUCCUACGGGAGGCAGCAGUGGGGAAUUUUGGACAAUGGGGGCAACCCUGAUCCAGCCAUGCCGCGUGCGGGAAGAAGGCCUUCGGGUUGUAAACCGCUUUUGUCAGGGAAGAAAAGACUCCUGUUAAUACCGGGGGUUCAUGACGGUACC